CACACACACACUAGUUAUUUAAGCUAGCAUUUCUCCCUUAGCUAUCAAAUGGUUUUCAAGAGUGGAAAAAUAUCUUUUUCACUUUUUUUUAAGGCAUGGAAAAAUAUUUUUAUUGAAAUACAUUUGACAUAUAACAUUGCGUAAAUUUUUACAACACUGCAUAAAUUUAAGGUGUACACGUUAAUUUGAUACACUUAGGUAUUAUAAUACGAUUUCCAUUUAGCAAGAAUUAGCACCUCUAUUGCAUUACAUAAUCCUAAUUCCUUUUUAGUGGCUGGAAUAAUUAAGCUCUAGUCUCUUCUUAGCAUGUUUGGUGAUCAUAAUACGAUAUUGUUACCUAUAGGUGCACAAAACAUUUUAAGUAAAGACGAGGCUACCAGGAUGGUUUCCGUUUUCUUCUUUAUUGUUACCUGAACUCCUAAAAUAUGUGUGCCUUUCUAGAGACUUGAAUCACAAUCUUAAGACUUUUAAAGCUAGAAAGGUCUUCGUCCGGUCCGGCCUCCUUGCCAAAGGAGGAAAGUGAGUCCCAGAGCAGUUAGGUAGCGUGUGCCCAAGGUCAUGAAGCAGGAGCAUACUGCUGCUGGAGAGCAAAUCAAAGAGAUAUUUAAAAACCCACUAAACAUAAACAUGCAAGCCCAUAUCACGUAAUUUCUCUGGAAUAAGUCUGUGAUAAGGAUCACAUUUCCCUUUAUGUUUUUCCAACAACAGCUCAUGAUACAAUUUGUACGGCUCCUGGUAACUUUUACUGGGGAAAAUUUGGGGGAAAAAAAAAAAACAACAACAAAAGUACCAUGUUUCAAAAGGAACCAGAUCUGAUAAGGCGGCAGAAAUAUUUACUCCAUUAUUUCAAGAGGCAGGUUCUUUGUUUCUCAGACGCUUCCUGUUUUAAAAAUAGCUUUCCACAACUGUUCCAGGACUAGGAUGUCCUUUUAAAUGAAACGGGCUUUGAAGAUGCAAUUUCAUUUCAGUGGCAGAUAAUCGGCCAGCCUUUUGCAGGAGGCGGCUCGGACCGGGUCUCCUGGACCCUUGGGUGCCGGUCCCGCGGCAGCCGGGGCUGGGUGGCUGGACGGUGAGGAGGUGGGGAAGCAGCCAGCACAGGUGGGAGCCUGAACAGAGCGGGGCACCUGCUAAGGGGACAAAGGCUUCCAGCCAUCGGGCGGCACAUCAGUGAUGUUGCGAAAUCAAAGGCGCUGCCGUUCACAUGCAGGAUGUGAUUGGAUGGAGGGAGGGUAUGACCCUUAGCUUUAGGCGUGAUCGUGGCCUGGUGGCUGCGUGAGAAGGCGCCCACCUUUCUGAGCGACGCGUACUUGGAUGGGGAAGGACGAAAUGAUGCCGUGGCCGAACUGCCUUGAAGCCUGGCUGCAAAGGGAUCGGACACCGGGCGACGCGUGCAGUGGAGACGUAAAAAAGCAACGGGGCAAGAAGAAACAAACCUUUUCCGAGACCGGCAAAAUGCUGAGCCACCGGCGCUUUGGGGCUUUGAGGCUCCGGGCAAAUGACUACAAGACGCGGAGCCUCAGUUUUCCCACCAGGAAAAUGCACGGUCGCCUUGCCUCGCCUGCCAGGUGGCUCUGAGGCUGAAACAAAAUGCUGGAAGCUGAAUCAUUGCAAACACGGAGAGGGUUUCACCUCAUGCCCACGUGCAGAGCUGUGACCACCUUGGGGAGCAGCGACACGGUGACUGCCACCUGAGGGGAGGAAGCCUGAGGAAUCGCCUCCAGCCACAUUCUGGAAGCUGCUGGCUCUUCCAGAGAGGAUGGGGGGCACGCCCCUCAGAGGUCAGGAAGCCCACAGGCUUCGUGCGAGGCCCCAGACCCACGUCACUGCCAAGGACAGAGAAGCCAGGCGGUCUCCUGGGCACCAGGGAAUCCCACACCCUCCAGGACCCCGGGGGCCCCUCGUCCGUAACCUGGAAAAGGGAGAUUUAAUUUCCCAAUAUUGGUUCAUUAGUUCUAACAAAUGUACCAUUAUGAGUACAAGAGGUUAAAAACAGGGGAGUUUGUUAGGGGUUUAUGGGAAUCCCUUUGCAUUAUCUUUGUGAUUUUUCUGCAAAUCUGAAACUGGGUCUAAGAAGUAAAGUUUACUAAAGCGUAAGAACAAGCAAAUAAAUACGUCUGUUAGAAUGAU